CUGUUGGGCUCCUCUUAGGACAGAAAAGCUGUGGGGGAGAGGAAGGAAAUGUUUCCUUGACAACAGAAUCUUGUUUUAUUGGCAUAGCAGCUUGAUGGCUUCCAGCUUUCUGCACCAACUUUUCCUGGGCUCCAGAUGGGCUGCCAAAAA